rnacentral:lncRNA from 1 species
CAGCUUGGGGAUCCAACUCGUGAUGCCUACGGAAACCGUGGUGGAUGGGUGAAGUCCAAGCUUUUCUUUGCCAUCUCGAGUCACCAAACUCCCUACCUACGUCCAACACAUUUACGCACACAUUUAGGCUAUAAUUCAAGUAAAAUGUAUCAAACAGGGAAGUUUCUCUUCACCAAUUACCAACAAUCUAACUUUUUAAGUUAUUCAAACCCUAGAUUCAUACAACUACAUUUAGUAUAUAAAGUAAGUGUUCUAAAUACCAUCAAGCAUGCAAACGACUGAUAACAUAAAAAUAACCUGAAAAACAUAAAGCUAAAAUGGGAAUGCCUCUCAAGGGGGCUUCUUUUUGGUUAUUGAGUCAUUUAGCUAGACUCGACAUGAAUCAUCCUUGCAGAUACAGAAUCAUGUUAACUCGCUGCUUAAUCUCCAACGAGUUUUCGUGAUACACUUUGAGCCUAUGUCCAUUGACCUUGAAAUCACCCUUCUCGGGAUGAUGAAGCUCGACUAUGCUAUAUGGGAAAACUUGCUUAACCACUAAUGGCCCUAACCAUCAACUCCUGAGCUUCCCUGGAAACAAAUGAAGAUGUGAGUUAUAUAACAAUAUUCUAUCUCCAAUCCGAAACUCCUUGGAACCUUUGAGCCUCUGAUCAUGCCACUUUUUGUCUUAGCCUGGUAAAUUGAAGAGUUUUCAUACGCCUGUUGAUGCCACUCCUCCAAUUCACUCAACUGCCACUGUCUGUCCUUACCUACAGAAUCAACAUCAAAAUUGCAAGUUUUAAGGGCCCAAAGAGCCCUAUGUUCUAAUUCAACAGGUAAAUGAAAAGACUUCCCAUACACAAGCUUAUAGGGGCGUAAAACCUAUGGAAGUCCUAUAUGCAGUUCUAAAUGCCCAUAAUGCAUCAUCCAGUUUCGAAGCCCAAUCCUUCCUACUUACACCUACAGUUCUCUCUAAAAUGUGUUUUAAACCCCCAUUAGUAACCUCAACUUGCCCACUGGUCUGUGGGUGCUAGGGAGUAGAGAACCGAUGCAUUACACCAUAGCGCCUGAGUGUCUUCUCCAAUUGAGCGUUGCAGAAAUGUGUUCCAUAUCACUAAUUAACUCUCUAGGUGUGCCAAACCUAGCAAAUAACCUCUUAAGGA